rnacentral:lncRNA from 1 species
CUCAAACUGUAAGCACUGAAGUGUGCUGUAGGCAAAACAGAGCUGAAAAGUUCUAUUGCUACAAUGACUACAUCUGUGCUGGUUUGGGUCCUGAGCUGGGGUUCUUCUUUAUUAGUCACUCAGUUUACUUUGCAUCGUCAUCAUCUCUGCUGAAGUUGUUUAGGCUUGCUAUACUUUCAAGUUACUGCAUUUAGAUAUUUCCAAUAAUGUCUCCCUUUUUUGAUUCAUGUUUGAUUCAUGGGGUUAUCUGCAAACUGAGGUUUAUGAGGGAGCUCCUCUGUUUUUUGUUAGCUUCAAUAAUCUGCAAACAAUUGGAAAACUAUGAGACUUCAAGUUUUCAGUCAUUUUCAUGUAUUUCCCUAAUGGAAAACUCUGUAAUAAAUGCAAAAGUGAUGUUGAUGGCCCAGGUGGUGGAGUAAGUUUCUUGACUUGGAGCUGCUGCAAGUACUUCCUUUUGUAUGGGAUGCAACAAAGAUAUCUUGCCAAUUUGUUGUAAUUAGAUUCUGUAGCACUUGUCAGGUGUGUCAGCCUUUUUGUUGGCCAGAUUUCUAUUUCAUUAAUGUUGAAGCCUACCUCCCCUACUUAGCCUUGACUCUCACAUAAGUUCUAUUGUCUUUUCAUUUUCCAACUUCCAGCACGAAAUUGUGCACUGUACAG